GUCCCUGAGUGACUCUUUGGCUCAAACUGUUCUGGUUUGUGGAAGACACGCCUGUUUUCUUCCCUGGGCUAACUGUGAAGCUCAGAAGAGGAAGAAGGGCCCGGAUGGCAGAUGAACCGCACAGGGCUGUGUGGCCUCAGCCCCGCAGCUGGGGAGCUCAGUGGCCUCCUGGAGGAGAAGCUGACUUUGGAGGACCUGGAACACCAUGGCUGCUGGGAGUUGGGGCUGUGCGGGAGGCUUCUGUCUCUGUGUGGCGUUUGGUCAUAACCACUGGACUUUGGAACAUCCUGCUUAAAACCACAACUUUGGCUGGGAUUACAGGCGUGAGCCACCGCGCCCGGCCACGUUAUGGUUUUGAGCAAGAAGAAAGUUUAUGAGAGACAGAAUGCAUUCAGCCUUGACGCUGAAGUCAUUCUCUCCUGUGGCCCCGGGAAAGCCACCAACCACAGAGAAGGAAGCCACUUGGCUGCUAUGAAUGGUACUUACAAAGUUGUAAAAACGCGAAUGCCGUUGACUUGUUUUCAACACAGAUAAAACUUAACAAAGAACAGAAAACUUAAUUAUGCUCAUCAAACAGAAUAUGAUGCCAUCCUUGGUGCUGCAAAAGAAAAACCCACGGGAUGGAGGAAGAGAAGGGGAAGAGGGGAGGGGAGACGGAGGACAGGACAGGGCUUCAGAGGCCUCCACGGUGUGCUGAAGAUUCAGCAGUCUCAGCUGGAUGGAAAAGCAGUAAAUGCCCAAGUCUAUAUUGACAGGUGCGAAUCUAACGAAUGUGAAAACUAACAAUCGUGACUGAGAGGAGGUGGGGGAGGGUAAAUGAGGGAAAUUCUCAUUUUUUAAUAGUGCAGAAUCAGUAGAUACUGUUGAAGGAUGACAAAUGAAGAGGUGACGGAAUAAGCAUAUUGACUAAAGUUAUGAUGGUGGAUAGAUUGAUUUUUUUUUCUUUUGAGACGGAAUCUCGUUCUCUGUUGCGCACAGUGGAGCUCUUAGAGGUGUUGACAGAGUCUAAUCGCAUCCCUUUGACCUGCGAAGCUCUGAGGAGGGAGGGUUCCAACAGCCACCUGUGACCAGAGUCCCUGUCUCAGCACCCUGCAGGGCAGGUGACCUUAUGGCCAAUGAGACACAGGGAACAUUGGCUGUUCCCUCCCUGAUGAGCAGGGAGGAGCAGUUUGAGGCCAUGAUGCACAGAACGAGGUGGCUGUGUUGUGACUGCCAGGGAGGGAGGAGCCACCAGCAGCUGAUGGGACAGAGGAGAAGGAUAAAGGAGAGGCUCUGGUGACAGUACUGGGCACUGUGCAUGGCGGGGGACUGCCUGCCUCCCAAGUUCUUGUUGUGUUGACAGAGAUGACAAAAUGUCAUCAUUGUUUCAGCCGCAGCUCACUGGGUGCUUGGCAGCCCACUCCCCCAGCGGGCCCAGGAGCCUGGCGGUACCGUGGCUCCUCCUAGUGCAGGCGCUCGGCUCAGUCUUCCUCAUGGAAAGGCUCCAGCGGGCCCCGGUCUCACAGGGUGGCCCAGCUGGCUGUCAGGCUUGCUCCUGGGGACACCUCAGGCAAGACAGGAGAGGUGCUCUGUGCCCUCAAGCUUUCAUUCAUGCACUGGUUCUGUCGGCGAAUGUGUUGACACGUGCCACACCAAAGCUGUGUGGUGUGGACCUCAUUACCUGUCAUCUUUCUAACUUGACUGCAAACUUCAUGUGGGGAGGACAGUGGCCUGUGUGACCCAGAUCCUCAGUGGCCAGCCCUGGGAACGGCUCAUCAUCUAGGGGAGGAAACAGACUCUCAUCAGAUCCAAGCCCAGCUCCUAGGGGUGGUGAUGCUGCUAUCUAAGCAGGACCCUCUCACACACCCCCACCCCACCCAGCUGCAUGGCUGAGCCCUGUGGCUGGUGGCACUUCACACACAUCAUUCUAUGGCUGCCACUGGUAUUUAGUGUCCCCUCGUCCUGCCUGGCCCCUCCAACAGGGUCUCCUUUCUUCCAGGGCCCUGACAUCUCGUGGAGACACUGCCUCCCACAUCUCUCCAUGUGAGCAGUUUCCCCAGCCCUGCCUUGCUCCUCUCUCUGCUCUGCUGCAGUGCCUUCUCCUAAUACCACGGGAAUGCUGAAAGAGGUCUCUGGGGAAGCAGCGCCUUGUCACCUGCAGGCCCAGCAGCCGCAACUCAAACACACUGGCACAAAGUUGCACUUCAUUUACUCCACUUGAUUUCUGGGAUUCCAAUUCCAGUCCGGGAAGACGUGUAAACAAGGAUGUUCAGAUGGUGGUUGCCCUGGAGGGUGGGCGUGGGGGCAGGUGUUGAUGGCAGUGGGGCACAGGGACGCCUCCUGGGAGCUGCUGAUGUCUUCUGUCUUGGUCUGGGUGCGAUUUACAGGGGUGGGCUCGGUUUGUCAAAAUUCGUCGAACUGUACUCAUAUGAUGCUGUAUGUAAUAUGUCAAUAGAUGGAAAGGUUUCUGUG
rnacentral:lncRNA from 10 species